rnacentral:rRNA from 1 species
AGCGAACGCUGGCGGCAGGCUUAACACAUGCAAGUCGAACGCCCCGCAAGGGGAGUGGCAGACGGGUGAGUAACGCGUGGGAACAUACCCUUUUCUACGGAAUAGCUCUGGGAAACUGGAAUUAAUACCGUAUACGCCCUACGGGGGAAAGAUUUAUCGGGGAAGGAUUGGCCCGCGUUGGAUUAGCUAGUUGGUGGGGUAAAGGCCUACCAAGGCGACGAUCCAUAGCUGGUCUGAGAGGAUGAUCAGCCACAUUGGGACUGAGACACGGCCCAAACUCCUACGGGAGGCAGCAGUGGGGAAUAUUGGACAAUGGGCGCAAGCCUGAUCCAGCCAUGCCGCGUGAGUGAUGAAGGCCUUAGGGUUGUAAAGCUCUUUCACCGAUGAAGAUAAUGACGGUAGUCGGAGAAGAAGCCCCGGCUAACUUCGUG